CUGGACUGCAGCCAAGCACCGCGGCGCUGCGCGCCCCUCCUCCGCCAGCCCCUCCACCUCCUCCCAGACUCUCC